CCUCCAGGGACAGCAGCCUGCUUUCUACUCUGCGCCGGGGAAAACCAGAGAAAGGGAAUUUCGGAAGGGUUUGGGGCUUUCUGCAGCGACAUUGCAUUGUGAACAGCUCCGGACCCCGUUCUGGGCCUCCUACCAAGAUUGUGAGAACAAAGACCACUAAAAGUCAAGGUUUUUUGUCGCGUCUUUUUAGCCGUUUCCUGGUGCGGAGAUCUUACAAUACAGCUGCAAAAUUAGUAUGUGGCUCUCAACCAUAUGCAUUAUUAGUAGCCCAGGUUUUUCUCUUAACACUUUUUGAGGUGAUCUGUGCUUUUAUUUGUAAUGUCAUGGUGUUCUGAACCACUUUCAUUUAACAUUGAGCAGAACUUCUCAUUACUCCUCUGGUUAAAAAUUAUGCAAAUAAUAAACAAGCCACCUGCAGUAUUUUUUUUAAUAGGACCGUCCUUCCGUGGAACAACUGUGAUAUAAACUACUUCAUAGCUUGUAUUUAUUAAUUGCUUUUUCAUUAUUUGGUAUCUGUUGUGUUUUUCCCCACUUAAAAUUGUAAAUUGUAAAGAUGAGGUUUUGAGUUUUAUGCCAGUCCACUUUUGCUGAAGCAAACUGCCUCCUUUAAAAGAACUUGCUGUUCAAGGUACAAGGGAAUGCAAGUAUUUAUUUUUGUACCCAUUUCUCUCUUUCCUGGAGAUACAGGGUGUGCUGGGCUUCUGUCACUUGUGGGUGUUUUUUGUGAAGACAGUUUUCUCCACAUUUAAGACAGUUUUCUCAACAUUUUCCUCAGUUACCUGAUUGACAUCAAGGCAUGUUCCUGAGAAUCUUGAGGAUCUGAAUGUAAAUAAUUCAAAGUCCCUUCCUAGAUACUGAACAACUAUCUCAGUACUAUGCAGUCAAUAGUGAUUUACUAGCAGAACAUCACCUAUUCCUUACAGAAUUUUUGGUGGUUUUUCUUUUUAUUUUACUGGCAGAACUUCAGGCUGUGUAAGCUAACAAUAACUACACCAUCAGCAAAAUAUUAUUACCUACAUAUUUUUCUUUAUCUUAUCUUUUUUCAUUCCUAGCUUGCUCCACUGCUUCUGUUACUAUUAUUAUUGUAUUGUUUUAAUGUUCAGGAAAUUGAGUUCUGAAUUGUGACCUACCUGUGUUAAACACUGUAUUCAUGUUUGUGGCCCUGUCACAUGUAUCUUUGGAGGAACGUUUUGUAAGGACAAAAUACACAGCAGCUGAUGAUGAUAUUAAAAAAAAAAAAAAAAAAAAGGGGAGGGGGCAAAACAAAACCCUUCAAACAUUUUUUCAUUCUUUGACACAUAUCUCAUGGGAUUUUAAUGCCUGUUGUUAUAAGAGAUGGACCGAAAAUUCUUUUUCCUAUCAGCAGCUCCUCCCUCUGCCUGCCUGCCUUUCCUCCUGCCUCCCCUUCUCCAAACCAAACCCUAGUUUGGAUUCUGUCUGCAGCCGACCUGAAUGAGGAGAAAAUAGAAAGACUUCAAUAGUGCCAUAUUUUACUAAGUAUCCCCCACCAUAAUUCAUUGUCUGGCCGCUUGUGCAGAUCCUGGUCUAACGAUUUUCUGUGGUUUCCUGAGGCUACGAGGCUUCCUCUGCAGCCUGGUGAAAGCUCAUCUUACUGCGGUAGGACUCCUCUUGCUUCAGCAAGAAUUUUGGGACAAAAAUAGAACUUUAAUUGGAAAAUUAAGCUGGUGUCAUGUCGAAAUGUGGGGAGCUCAGAAGAACUGGAAGGAUUGAUGUGUCAUAAUUGGAUCGAAUCCGUCAGCAGAGAGAGAGCAAGUGCAGAAACUGAGGAGUUGUUUAUUGUUUCUCCCUCCGGUCGGGUCUCCAAUAGCUACUUUGGUGUACACCAUCGUGUGAAUCAGUCAUACAGGCUGCGGGUGAACCAACAGUAUGAACAGUAUCUCGACAAGAGCAGCAGUUUCCUUCCAAGUCUGUCAGCUGUCUGUCUGUCUGUCAACACCCAAUCAUUCAUUUCCUAAGCAGAAGCACUGCAUCCCAUCAGCUGUGAUAGUCUUGAUAGGGAUCCUCUUGACUGCAGACAGGCAUGGUCUCACAAGUUCACCUCAAAACUCCAAUUAGAACAGCAAGCCCAAGUUUCAUAGAAUCACGGAAUAUGCUCAGUUGGAAGGCAUCCACAAGGAUCCAGCUCCUGGCCCCCCUCAGCAAUCCCACCCUGCGCCCGAGAGCAUUGUCCAAGUGCCUCUUGAGCUCUGGCAGCUUUGGUGCUAUGACAUUC